rnacentral:lncRNA from 1 species
GAGAUGGUGAAUUUAACAGAAGUAAUAUAGUUGAUGUCAGUAUUCAUGUCUGUAGAAGAAAUGAUUAGAAGAGUUAAUUAUAACAAGAGAAAUGGAAAUAAGGUACAAUUCACUGCGUUAAAAACAGUACCUUUUCGUUGAACAAAACUCCACCAGUAGGGUUAUCUUUGUCGAUAGAUUUAUGGAUGAAUGCCUUCAAGUCUGGACUGUUUUCUAUCUCAAGAAUCUUUAAGGCUGGGAAGUCAACAGUAUAAUCUUCAUAGAAAAAUCCAAUGAGUUUCUGAAGAUCUUUCAAUUUGAGGGAGUUCAAUCGAG